rnacentral:rRNA from 1 species
UACGAAGGGGGCUAGCGUUGCUCGGAAUCACUGGGCGUAAAGCGCACGUAGGCGGCUUUCUAAGUCAGGGGUGAAAUCCUGGAGCUCAACUCCAGAACUGCCUUUGAUACUGGAGAGCUUGAGUCCGGGAGAGGUGAGUGGAACUCCGAGUGUAGAGGUGAAAUUCGUAGAUAUUCGGAAGAACACCAGUGGCGAAGGCGGCUCACUGGCCCGGUACUGACGCUGAUUGUGCGAAAGCGUGGGGAGCAAACAGGG